rnacentral:rRNA from 1 species
UGGGGAAUUUUGGACAAUGGGCGAAAGCCUGAUCCAGCAAUGCCGCGUGUGUGAAGAAGGCCUUCGGGUUGUAAAGCACUUUUGUCCGGAAAGAAAUCCUUGGCUCUAAUACAGUCGGGGGAUGACGGUACCGGAAGAAUAAGCACCGGCUAACUACGUGCCAGCAGCCGCGGUAAUACGUAGGGUGCAAGCGUUAAUCGGAAUUACUGGGCGUAAAGCGUGCGCAGGCGGUUUGCUAAGACCGAUGUGAAAUCCCCGGGCUCAACCUGGGAACUGCAUUGGUGACUGGCAGGCUAGAGUAUGGCAGAGGGGGGUAGAAUUCCACGUGUAGCAGUGAAAUGCGUAGAGAUGUGGAGGAAUACCGAUGGCGAAGGCAGCCCCCUGGGCCAAAUACUGACGCUCAUGCACGAAAGCGUGGGGGAGCAAAACAGGAUUAGAUAAACCCUGGUAGUCCACGCCCUAAACGAUGUCAACUAGUUGUUGGGGAUUCAUUUCCUUAGUAACGUAGCUAACGCGUGAAGUUGACCGCCUGGGGAGUACGGUCGCAAGAUUAAAACUCAAAUGAAUUGACGGGGUCAUAGCUGUUUCCU